rnacentral:tRNA from 1 species
GCUCCCAUCGUCUAGUGGCCUAGGACGCCGGCCUCUCACGCCGGUAACGGGGGUUCGAAACCCCCUGGGAGCGCCA